UUCAACUCAUGACCCCGAGAUCAAGGGUCGUGUGCUCUACAGAAAUAAACCAGCCAGGCCCCCUGAGUUGAAUCUUGAAGAGACCAGUGUCAGGCACUGAGCACAACUCUUGCAAAGCUCUGGAAAUGUGAGCUUCGCCUCCUCGCCCUGCACGUUCUUCCCAUCGCCUGGACCAGCACAGCCUUCCGAUGAGCACAUUUGCACCCAUUUUUCAGAGCCCAACACUGAGUUUCAGUCCCCUGUUCCGUCUGCUGACGUUCCCGGAAAGGCCAUGCUUUCACGAGGCGUCACCAUCGGCACAUCCGCUAAGCCUCCGAUGGCCCCAUCCAGAGGCUUGGUCGAAACAGGCAGGGCCAGAAGCACAGACCCGUGGCCCUGCCUUAGAGACUCGUACUUCCGGCUGCACUGAUGUACAGAGUAUGGUCUCUGGGGGCACCUGGGUGGCA